CGAUAGGAGAAAGAAUAAAAUAGAACUGUUUGUCCAACAAGACGCAUACAAAUUAAAUCACCUGCAAAGUAGCGACUGUAUUUUGUUAACUAUGCUUUUGAAAUUAUUAAUUAUUUGUAUUAUAUCCCAAAUAACGUUGCAGUGGAGAAUGCCGAAUAGACCAAAUAAAACCUAUUUUAGAACUAUAAGUUAUAGUGUCCCUAAGAGGACACUCGGUGUCACUAUCAAGCCCCGGCUAUAUAUUGUCCCGACAAUUUACAACAAAUUAGAAACAAAUUUGAAUCAAGAUUCUAUGAAACAGAACAGUUCUACCGUUAUGGACGAAGAUGAAAUUCCAAAUAUAUCUGAUAAGACAGACGACGAAAUUCUAGACGAUAUAAUUGAUGAAACGAAUGGAAACGGCACUAGCAGUGAACAUUUUUAUGAUGAUUCUCCGGUAAAUGACAUUGUCUCCGAAAAUGUAAUGAACACUGAUAUCGAAGAAAGCAAUGAAGAUGCAGAUGAUUGAAUUAAGUGGAAUAUUGGCAAAUAUAUAGUUCAUUACUAAUUAUUUAGUAGUAAUUUACUAGUAACUUACGCUAGCUGAUCGUUCCUUGUUUAUAACUUGGAACCUAGAUAUUAUAUACGCCUAUAUAUUAUAUUCUUUCUUAAGGAAGUACUGAAAAGUAAAGACUUCCCAAUGAUAGCUAAGAAAAAGGUGUUUAAUCUAUGUAUCCUACCAUGUGUCACAUAUGGCUUCCAGACUUGGGCAUUAUCUCAAAAAAAAAAAAAAAAAAACUUGGUGAAAGAAGCAU